AAACCAGCCCAAGAAGAAACUCCACGGAGAUAAACAUAGCUGGAGCUUAAAACAUUGCUUCCGGGAGCCCCAUUCAGGAAGAGAAAAGGGAGGAGGGGUUUGGCUCAUUGGGCCUUCCUGUCAGAGCUGGGAAAGAUGCAGCUCUCUCUGAGAAACGUGAUCCCUUCUCUUUGGGAAAGAGCCUCCCUACAGAACCUCCUUCUCCUCUCUGCCAUCGUCCUGGUCCUGGCACAUUAUCUGAAGAGAAGAAGAAGAAGGAAUCUAAACUACCCCCCUGGCCCUCCGGAGCUGCCCAUAUUGGGCAACUUCCACCAGAUGGACUUCCAAAAACCCCAAGUCACCAUGCAAAAGUUUGUCAAAGAAUACGGAAAUAUUUUGUACAUGAAUAUGCUCAGUCAAAACUUUAUAACAGUAACUGGAUUGCCAAUGAUCAAGGAGGUUCUGGCCAACCAAGGAGAUGUUUUUAUUGAUCGACCCCAAAUCCCUAUCCAGCUUCAAAUCUUUAAGUCAUCUGGCUUAAUCAUGUCUAAUGGCCAACUGUGGAAACAGCAAAGAAGAUUUGCCUUAAUGACUCUAAGGAACUUUGGUUUGGGAAAGAAGACCCUGGAAGAUCGAAUACGGAUGGAGGCCAAGUAUCUCACUGAGGCUAUCAGGGAAGAAAAAGGACAGCCCUUUGACCCCCACUAUGUGAUCAACAAUGCUGUUUCUAACAUCAUCUGCUCUGUAACUUUUGGGAAUCGUUUUGAGUACCAUGAUUCACAAUUUCGGGAGCUCCUGAAGACUGUGAAUGACGUCAUGAAGCUUUUGGUCAGGUGGGAGUGUCAGCUCUUCAAUAUAUUUCCAUCUGUAAUGAAAUUACUGCCAGGAACUCAUCAGAAGCUCUUCAGAAAUUUUAAAAAGCUAGAAUCUUUUGUAGAAGAUGUGAUCAAACAACACAAGGAAAACCUGAAUCCAGAGGAGCCCCAGGAUUUCAUUGAUGCUUACCUGAAAGAAAUGUCCAAGGAUAACAUCCAUUCUAGUUUUAAUGAAAAAAAUUUAGUCUACUGCACCCUGGACCUCUUCUUUGCUGGAACAGAGACAACUUCAACCACACUAAGGUGGGGACUGUUGUACAUGGCUCUUUAUCCAGAGAUCCAAGGCAAAAUACAAGCUGAGAUUGACAAAGUGAUUGGCCAAUCUCGACAGCCCACCAUGGCUGAUAAGGAGAAUAUGCCCUACACUAAUGCAGCUGUUCAUGAAGUUCAAAGAAUGGGAGAUAUUAUUCCUUUCAAUGUACCCAGGAUGGCUGUGGUUGAUACCACAGUGGCAGGAUAUCAUGUGCCGAAGGUAAAAAAAUCCCCCACCAUGAACUUAAAAAGAUUAUUUUUCCACCUACUUCUAAUGCCUUAUUAUUAACUCACCAUUUGUCUUGCUCUAGGAGCUUCUUCCACAAGAACAGCUCUUUCUAAACCAGGUUAUCUAAAUACACACAGGUAUAUCUUUAUAUUCAAGACACAAGGAAGCUAGGGGUUCUUAUAAAAAAAAAAAACAACAACAAACAACAAACAACAACAACAACCAAAAAAAAAAAAAAAACCAGUGGAUAUAGAAAUGGAGUCAGGAAGACCUGGCUUGAAAUUCAGUCUCAGAUACUUACUAUGUAACUCUUGACAAGUCACUUCACCUGCCAGCCUCAAUUUCCUCAUCUAUAAAUAUGAAAGGAUGCUAGCCCUAAAGACUAUAAUGUUAAAAUUUAUCCCAUCUAUAUCAAAAAUUUUGAGUAGGAUCCCUUAACACCAGUCCCAUAAGUCUUACACAGUAACUGAUAUUUGUAACCAUCAUUUCUGACAGGAGUUUUGAAGGAAUAUCCUGAUUUAUGGCGCAUUACUAUCUGUGAAGAUUACUCAUUUACAAUCUGAUUCAUAAGAUGGUCCCAUAUGGGGCAGAGGGGCAGAGGUCAGCUGGAAGAAAAAUUACCUGGUGAUGAUGGCAUCAAACUUGCCCCCAAAAGGCAAUUUAGAAUAAGGCAUUUGGGAUCAUUUCCUCCUGCCACAAGCUGGAUGAAUUUGAAUUGGUCUACCUUUCCAUGUAUUGGUUUACUCAUCUGUAAAAAUGAAAAGGAUGGUCCUAAUGGCCUCUAUAAUCCCUUCCAGUCCUAAAGUUAUGACUCUGAGGGAUGGAGGCAAGAUAGCAGAGAGCAGACAUAGCUUUAUGUGAUUUUCUCUGACCUCUCAAGCCAAUAGCAUAUUAAGCCUCUAAACUUGUUUUGGAGUGACAGAAGCUACAAAUAUUUGGAGUACAACAAAUUUCCAAAAGAAGAAACUUUGGAAGAACUUCAGAAUGUCUGUUUUAAUCAGGCAGGGGGAGAGGCUGCCAAGCCCAGAUCACAGUACAGGGAACCAGGCCAUUGUUGCAUCCCUACUUCAGGGAACCUACUGCAAGGGUUUUAGACUACUAUGCCCUGGUUGUAAACAUGUAUUUUUGAAGAUUCCCUGCAAGACACCCCCAAAAUCAAUACAAAAGGCAAAUUGAGAGCCUCUGAGAUCAGGAGGAUUGUGGGACCAGCUGUGCUUACCCAGCCCCAGAAGCCAGUCAGCAGAACUGCCCCAGGUCAAACUAAAAUGGCUAUCACUUCUUUAUCUUAAGAGUAAACUUCAAUCUCAAAAAUAAUGAGCAAAAAAGCAAAAACAAUUCUGGCCAUAGACAAAUUUUAUGGUCAAAGAGAAGAACAGACCUCAAAUUCUUAGGAUUUAAAAAGGAAGGCAGUUCCAGAUGAAGCCCCAAAGGUUGAUAUGAGUUUUCCAUUUUACAAAGCUCUCUUUGAAGAAUUAAAAAAAAAAAAGGAUCUUAGAAGAGAGUUAGAAGAAAAAUGGGAAAAGAAAAUAAGAUCUUUGAAAGAGGGUGUGGAAAAGAAAAACCAGAAAUUAUCUGAAGAAAAAUUCUUUAAAAGUAGAUGUGAUGAAUGGGAAAAUCAUAUAACUUUUUUUUUACAAAACAGAUAAGAAAAAGAAACCAUUUAUUGAAAAACUAAACCUGUGAAAUGGAAAAAAAUGCAAUAAACAAAACACUUCAUAUAAAAGUUCAAUUGGCUAAAUGCAAAAGGAGAUAAAACAGUUAACUAAAGAAAAUAAUUCACUAAAAAGUAAAAUUGAACAAAGGGAAUGAAUUGAUGGGACUUCAACAAUCAAUCAAAUAAAACCAAAAAAAAAAAAGAAAGAAAGAAAGAAAAAAAAAGAAAAAAAUAGAAGAAAAUGUAAAAUAUCUUUUUGAAAAAAAAAUACUGACCUAGAAAAUAGAUCUCAGAGAGAUAAUCUAAGAAUUAUUUGUCUUCCUGAAAACUAUGUUGAAAAAAAAUUAGCCUAGACAUCAUCUUUCAGGAAAUUGUCACGAAAAACUUCCUGGAUGUACUAGAAGCAGAGGGUAAAAUAGUCAUUGAAAGAACUCACUGAUCAUCUUCUGAAAAAGACCCCAAAAUGAAAACUCCAAGGAAAAUUAUAGGAAUAUCUCAGAAUGAUCAAUUCAAGGAGAAAAUACUGCAAGCAGCCAGAAGGAAACAAUUCAAAUAUCAAGGAGACACAACUAGGAUUACCCAGGACCUAACAGCUUCCACUCUAAAAGAUCUAAAGCCAUGGAAUCUGAUGUUAUGAAAAGUAAAGGAACUUGGAUUGCAGCCAAGAAUCAAUUAUCCAGCAAAAUUCAUCAUCAUCUUUCAGGGAAAAUGAUGGACAUUCAAUGAAACAGGUGAAUUUCAUCUAUUUCUGAUGAAAAAAAGUAAUAAAUAAAAAAUUUGAUCUUCAAAUUAAGAACUCAAGAGAAGCAUAACAAGGGGACCAUGCUGGCGACCAACUUGACUGCUUUGCAUAGGGACCCCAAGGAGUGGGCUACCCCGGAAACCUUCAACCCAGAACAUUUU